ensembl:processed_transcript Platr14 pluripotency associated transcript 14
GGGGACAGCAUAUAUGGUUCAGACUACAAACUGCUUCUGUGUGACUAAGAGAAGAAGAAUCAGAGUAAAGAGAAACAUACUCUCUUAAUCUCCGAAGAUUAACGGCAGGAGGAGCUCUAGAAUUUCACAAAGGUGCUGUCAGGACACAUGAAAAUCUAGAGAAAAAGACCAGCUUGAAGAGACCAAAAAGAAGAAAGCCUGCCAAUCACAUCCUCCAGAGAUUCUGAGACACACACACCCCUGGUGUAGGGGGACACCAUCUGAAAGGUGACACCCAUUCUACGGAAUAUAAGUACCAGCUAAAGAGGACACACACUUGAAGAAAAAGGAGACAAUGAGGUCUUGUGAAUGCUCUAAUUUUUCAAAGCUUACUUUUAAUGAUGGUUCUUAAACGCUUUAACCUCCCUUCUAGUCCACCACCCACCAAAGGUAGUGAAAAGAAAGGUGAUUAGGAUACAGGCGAAGUGAACCUGUUCAGACAUGGUUCUUUGGUGCACAACCUAGCAGGAACAUCCAGGUCUCAGUGGAAUCAGCUC